rnacentral:rRNA from 1 species
GUGGAUUAGAUACCCUGGUAGUCCACGCCGUAAACGAUGGGCACUAGGUGUGGGAGGUGUCGACUCCUCCUGUGCCGAAGCUAACGCAUUAAGUGCCCCGCCUGGGGAGUACGGCCGCAAGGCUAAAACUCAAAGGAAUUGACGGGGACCCGCACAAGCAGCGGAGCAUGUGGUUUAAUUCGACGCAACGCGAAGAACCUUACCUGGGCUUGACAUGUAGGUGACAGCUGUGGAAACACAGUCUCCCUUCGGGGCACUUACACAGGUGGUGCACGGCCGUCAUCAGCU